rnacentral:rRNA from 1 species
CCUACGGGUGGCUGCAGUGGGGAAUAUUGCACAAUGGGGGAAACCCUGAUGCAGCGACGCCGCGUGAGUGAAGAAGUAUUUCGUUAUGUAAAGCUCUAUCAGCAGGGAAGAAAAUGACGGUACCUGAGUAAGAAGCCACGGCUAACUACAUGCCAGCAGCCGCGGUAAUACGUAGGGGGCAAGCGUUAUCCGGAUUUACUGGGUGUAAAGGGAGCGUAGACGGCAUUGCAAGUCAGGAGUGAAAGGCGGGGGCUCAACCCCCGGACUGCUGUUGAAACUGUGAGGCUUGAGUGCCGGAGAGGUAGGGGGAAUUCCUAGGGUAGCGGGGGAAUGCGUAGAUAUUAGGAGGGACACCAGUGGCGAAGGCGGCCUACUGGACGGUGAAUGACGUUGAGGCUCGAAAGCGUGGGGAGCAAACAGGAUUAGAGACCCGAGUAGUC